rnacentral:rRNA from 1 species
UACGUAGGGUGCGAGCGUUGUCCGGAAUUAUUGGGCGUAAAGAGCUCGUAGGCGGUUUGUCGCGUCGGCCGUGAAAACUUGGGGCUUAACCCCGAGCCUGCGGUCGAUACGGGCAGACUUGAGUUCGGCAGGGGAGACUGGAAUUCCUGGUGUAGCGGUGAAAUGCGCAGAUAUCUGGAGGAACACCGGUGGCGAAGGCGGCAUCCUGGACCGGCAUUGACGCUGAGGCGCGAAAGCCAGGGGAGCAAACGGG